CGCAAGCCUGACGGAGCAACGCCGCGUGUGGGAGGACGGCAUUCGGGUUGUAAACCACCUUUCUCAGGGAAGAAGCACUGACGGUACCUGAGGAAUCAGCCUCGGCUAACUCCGUGCCAGCAGCCGCGGUAAUACGGAGGAGGCAAGCGUUAUCCGGAAUUAUUGGGCGUAAAGCGUCCGCAGGGGGCACAUCAAGUCUGCUGUUAAAGGCUGGAGCUUAACUCCGGUAGAGCAGUGGAAACUGGUGUGCUAGAGGGCGACAGGGGUAGAGGGAAUUCCCAGUGUAGCGGUGAAAUGCGUAGAGAUUGGGAAGAACACCGGUGGCGAAAGCGCUCUACUGGGUCGCACCUGACCCUCAGGGACGAAAGCUAAGGUAGCG
rnacentral:rRNA from 1 species